rnacentral:rRNA from 1 species
UACGUAUGGAGCAAGCGUUAUCCGGAUUUACUGGGUGUAAAGGGAGCGUAGGUGGCGUGGCAAGUCAGAAGUGAAAGCCCAGGGCUCAACUCUGGGAUUGCUUUUGAAACUGUCAUGCUAGAGUGCAGGAGAGGUAAGUGGAAUUCCUAGUGUAGCGGUGAAAUGCGUAGAUAUUAGGAGGAACACCAGUGGCGAAGGCGGCUUACUGGACUGUAACUGACACUGAGGCUCGAAAGCGUGGGUAGCAAAC